GUCUAGUAUGGGAGACAAAAAGAGAAAUUCAGGUUAAGAAAUAGACAGACAACAAGAUAUCGCUUCUCCGUUACAACCCUCGCCUCUCUGCCUGUCUGCCCCGUCCUGCCAACUCACUGCUCGGGUCUGCUCUGCUCUGUGGUGCCACGCUCCCUCCAGCAGCUCGGGGGCUGUGUCUCCAUGUGUGUCCCCAUCUGUCCCCAACUCUGGUGCCCUUCCUCUUGGCUCAGCUGGGGGAUGGCACGGGGAGGGUGCCCUGAGCAAGGUGUUGGGUCCUGCCCUGCGGCUGUCAGGGAGCUAUUGCCUUUCUCUGCUCCAAUUCCAGUGACACCAGCAAAACCCAAGAGGCUUCAGCUCUCAGGGUUGGUGAAACCAGCUUGGUGGGAAGCUCUACUGCAAAGCAAACCAGCUGGACCCUGCUGGGACCAUCAGGGCUGGCAGAGGCCCCCACACCAGUGCAACCUUUGUUUAGUAAUCAAAUUGAGAAACUCCUGGUCUGACUUCAGCCUGGGUGAGCUUAACAAUGCCUUUGCUUCAGAGUGAAACAUGUCUGUUUUGGUACCUCACAGGAGACAGGAACCAAAGCAACACAACUAUUCCCCCACUGCAGGGUUUGGCCUCCAGCUUUGCCAGCCCCAGCCCAGUCAGUGAAAAGCUGUUCCCUCCUCUCCUUCUAACGAGCGAUGGAGCAACCCCGUGAGACCAGAGGCUUUUGUACGGACUGGAAAUGUACUUGUCCCUCCCACAGACCAGGUUCCUCUCUUUUGCCCUAAAUAUCCUCUGGCAUACUAAUGACAAGCCUCGGUGCCUUACUGCCACGUUGGAAGUGCUGAGGAAAUAUGAUGUACACAGUCACCCAGCCAUCCCUUACUGCUGCUUCUCCGAGUGUGACAGACACUUGUGGGGACACGUUCCUGUACAACAAACACCUGAACCACGCUAAGCCAAGCCCCAGGGCCCUGAGAUGAAUGUGGCUCAUUAGGGCCAACGCAAGACCCGUCAGGGUGAGGAGAGCUGUGCACUGAGCAUCGGGCAGGUCGCCCAGCUCCUCCUGGCACGGGCUCAGCUGGGACCGAGCGCGCCCACGCUGCUGGCACAGCCCCGGGGCUGCCCCAACCCAGACACUGACCUUCAGGCUGCACUGUGGGAAGCAUGUAGCCAUCCGAAGGCAGAUGCUCCUGAGAAAUCUCAGCUGCCAACUCCCUGCAGGUUAGCUACCAAAAACCCCCUGGACAUCGGGGGGUGUUCUGUGUCCCCAGCACCAGCCGUGCCUGCCUGCGACAGCCGAGUGGCCACAAAGAGCAUCUCAGCUUUCCUGACCUGGCUUCUAGCCCUGACUUUUUUUUCAAUUCAUAAGGAGAUAAACAUGAAAAGAAAAUGGCUCAGAUCCUAAAUAAUACACAAAAUAUGCAGCAGCAGCAGCAGCAAACACAUUUCACAGUUUGUUGUUAUUGUAAUUCAUUUUCUCUCGUUCCCGCUGGUGCCCUGCUCUCUGUGGGACCGUGUCUGUGGAUGGCAAUUCCUACUGUGUGUGUUCAAAGCCGCUUUUUAACUUUGUAAACACAGUCAUUUAUUUUAAACUAAUCUUGAAAUUAAUAGUUCCAUGUAAAGAGAACAACUGGCUAUACUAUAAUAUUUUUUUCUCUGAAUGAGAGAAUCAUUGAAGUAGCUGGAACUAAUGGAUUGAGUCAAAU